rnacentral:misc_RNA from 1 species
GAUGAAGAACGUAGCGAAAUGCGAUAAGUAAUGUGAAUUGCAGAAUUCAAUGAAUCAUCGAAUCUUUGAACGCACAUUGCGCCCGCCAGUAUUCUGGCGGGCAUGCCUGUUCGAGCGUCAUUACAACCCUCAGGCCCCCGGGCCUGGCGUUGGGGAUCGGCGGAAGCCCCCUGCGGGCACAACGCCGUCCCCCAAAUACAGUGGCGGUCCCGCCGCAGCUUCCAUUGCGUAGUAGCUAACACCUCGCAACUGGAGAGCGGCGCGGCCACGCCGUAAAACACCCAACUUCUGAAUGUUGACCUCGAAUCAGGUAGGAAUACCCGCUGAACUUAAGCAUAUCAAUAAGCGGAGGA